rnacentral:rRNA from 1 species
ACUCCUACGGGAGGCAGCAGUAGGGAAUCUUCCACAAUGGGCGCAAGCCUGAUGGAGCAACACCGCGUGAGUGAAGAAGGGUUUCGGCUCGUAAAGCUCUGUUGUUAAAGAAGAACACGUAUGAGAGUAACUGUUCAUACGUUGACGGUAUUUAACCAGAAAGUCACGGCUAACUACGUGCCAGCAGCCGCGGUAAUACGUAGGUGGCAAGCGUUAUCCGGAUUUAUUGGGCGUAAAGAGAGUGCAGGCGGUUUUCUAAGUCUGAUGUGAAAGCCUUCGGCUUAACCGGAGAAGUGCAUCGGAAACUGGAUAACUUGAGUGCAGAAGAGGGUAGUGGAACUCCAUGUGUAGCGGUGGAAUGCGUAGAUACAUGGAAGAACACCAGUGGCGAAGGCGGCUACCUGGUCUGCAACUGACGCUGAGACUCGAAAGCAUGGGUAGCGAACAGGAUUAGAUACCCUGGUAGGAUAGCG